rnacentral:rRNA from 1 species
GUGGGGAAUCUUCCGCAAUGGACGAAAGUCUGACGGAGCAACGCCGCGUGAACGAUGACGGCCUUCGGGUUGUAAAGUUCUGUUAUACGGGACGAAUGGUACGACGGUCAAUACCCGUCGUAAGUGACGGUACCGUAAGAGAAAGCCACGGCUAACUACGUGCCAGCAGCCGCGGUAAUACGUAGGUGGCAAGCGUUGUCCGGAAUUAUUGGGCGUAAAGGGCGCGCAGGCGGCGUCGUAAGUCGGUCUUAAAAGUGCGGGGCGUAACCCCGUGAGGGGACCGAAACUGCGAUGCUAGAGUAUCGGAGAGGAAAGCGGAAUUCCUAGUGUAGCGGUGAAAUGCGUAGAUAUUAGGAGGAACACCAGUGGCGAAAGCGGCUUUCUGGACGACAACUGACGCUGAGGCGCGAAAGCCAGGGGAGCAAACGGGAUUAGAAACCCCGGUAGUCC